rnacentral:rRNA from 1 species
GACGAACGCCGUCGGCGUGCUUAACACAUGCAAGUCGAACGGAAAGGCCCUGCUUUUGUGGGGUGCUCGAGUGGCGAACGGGUGAGUAACACGUGAGUAACCUGCCCUUGACUUUGGGAUAACUUCAGGAAACUGGGGCUAAUACCGGAUAGGAGCUCCUGCUGCAUGGUGGGGGUUGGAAAGUUUCGGCGGUUGGGGAUGGACUCGCGGCUUAUCAGCUUGUUGGUGGGGUAGUGGCUUACCAAGGCUUUGACGGGUAGCCGGCCUGAGAGGGUGACCGGCCACAUUGGGACUGAGAUACGGCCCAGACUCCUACGGGAGGCAGCAGUGGGGAAUAUUGCACAAUGGGCGGAAGCCUGAUGCAGCAACGCCGCGUGCGGGAUGACGGCCUUCGGGUUGUAAACCGCUUUCGCCUGUGACGAAGCGUGAGUGACGGUAAUGGGUAAAGAAGCACCGGCUAACUACGUGCCAGCAGCCGCGGUGAUACGUAGGGUGCGAGCGUUGUCCGGAUUUAUUGGGCGUAAAGGGCUCGUAGGUGGUUGAUCGCGUCGGAAGUGUAAUCUUGGGGCUUAACCCUGAGCGUGCUUUCGAUACGGGUUGACUUGAGGAAGGUAGGGGAGAAUGGAAUUCCUGGUGGAGCGGUGGAAUGCGCAGAUAUCAGGAGGAACACCAGUGGCGAAGGCGGUUCUCUGGGCCUUUCCUGACGCUGAGGAGCGAAAGCGUGGGGAGCGAACAGGCUUAGAUACCCUGGUAGUCCACGCUGUAAACGGUGGGUACUAGGUGUGGGGUCCAUUCCACGGGUUCCGUGCCGUAGCUAACGCUUUAAGUACCCCGCCUGGGGAGUACGGCCGCAAGGCUAAAACUCAAAGGAAUUGACGGGGCCCCGCACAAGCGGCGGAGCAUGCGGAUUAAUUCGAUGCAACGCGUAGAACCUUACCUGGGUUUGACAUGGAUCGGGAGUGCUCAGAGAUGGGUGUGCCUCUUUUGGGGUCGGUUCACAGGUGGUGCAUGGCUGUCGUCAGCUCGUGUCGUGAGAUGUUGGGUUAAGUCCCGCAACGAGCGCAACCCUUGUUCACUGUUGCCAGCACGUUAUGGUGGGGACUCAGUGGAGACCGCCGGGGUCAACUCGGAGGAAGGUGGGGAUGACGUCAAGUCAUCAUGCCCCUUAUGUCCAGGGCUUCACGCAUGCUACAAUGGCUGGUACAGAGAGUGGCGAGCCUGUGAGGGUGAGCGAAUCUCGGAAAGCCGGUCUCAGUUCGGAUUGGGGUCUGCAACUCGACCUCAUGAAGUCGGAGUCGCUAGUAAUCGCAGAUCAGCAACGCUGCGGUGAAUACGUUCCCGGG